rnacentral:tRNA from 1 species
UAGCCUAGUGGUAAGGCUUUGGAUCGUCAAUCCGGAGACGGCGGGAUCGAUUCCCGU